AUUGAACGCUGGCGGCAUGCCUUACACAUGCAAGUCGAACGGUAACAGGUUAAGCUGACGAGUGGUGAACGGGUGAGUAAUGUAUCGGAACGUGCCCAGUCGUGGGGGAUAACUGCUCGAAAGAGCAGCUAAUACCGCAUACGACCUGAGGGUGAAAGCGGGGGAUCGCAAGACCUCGCGCGAUUGGAGCGGCCGAUAUCAGAUUAGGUAGUUGGUGAGGUAAAGGCUCACCAAGCCGACGAUCUGUAGCUGGUCUGAGAGGACGACCAGCCACACUGGGACUGAGACACGGCCCAGACUCCUACGGGAGGCAGCAGUGGGGAAUUUUGGACAAUGGGCGCAAGCCUGAUCCAGCCAUGCCGCGUGCGGGAAGAAGGCCUUCGGGUUGUAAACCGCUUUUGUCAGGGAAGAAAAGGUUCUGGCUAAUACCUGGGACUCAUGACGGUACCUGAAGAAUAAGCACCGGCUAACUACGUG
rnacentral:rRNA from 1 species